rnacentral:rRNA from 1 species
AUGAACGCUGGCGGCGUGCCUAAUACAUGCAAGUCGAGCGAACAGAUGAGGAGCUUGCUCCUCUGACGUUAGCGGCGGACGGGUGAGUAACACGUGGAUAACCUACCUAUAAGACUGGGAUAACUUCGGGAAACCGGAGCUAAUACCGGAUAAUAUAUUGAACCGCAUGGUUCAAUAGUGAAAGACGGUUUUGCUGUCACUUAUAGAUGGAUCCGCGCCGCAUUAGCUAGUUGGUAAGGUAACGGCUUACCAAGGCAACGAUGCGUAGCCGACCUGAGAGGGUGAUCGGCCACACUGGAGCUGAGACGCGGUCCAGACUCCUACGGGAGGCAGCAGUAGGGAAUCUGCCGCAAUGGGCGAAAGCCUGACGGAGCAACGCCGCGUGAGUGAUGAAGGUCUUCGGAUCGUAAAACUCUGUUAUUAGGGAAGAACAAAUGUGUAAGUAACUAUGCACGUCUUGACGGUACCUAAUCAGAAAGCCACGGCUAACUACGUG